rnacentral:lncRNA from 1 species
AUACGUCAUAUUUAAAACACUUUUAAAUAGUUUGUCUACGAUUUCAAUGAAUAACUCGUAAAAUACAACUAGAACUAGUUAAGUUAUUUUUAGGAUGAUUUUUCUAUUUAUGUUAUCUCUUUUUCUGUGUUUUUUAAUAGUUACGUGUUAUGUAUGGUUUGUUUUUUCCCUCUUUAUUCUAUUUAGUGUGUCGUUAUCUUGUAUAUAUAUAAACAUAUAUAUAAGAAUCAAAUAUGAAUAACCCAUACGUCAUAUUUAAAACAUUUUCAA